UACGUAGGGGGCUAGCGUUGUCCGGAAUCAUUGGGCGUAAAGCGCGUGUAGGCGGCCCGAUAAGUCCGCUGUGAAAGUCGGGGGCUCAACCCUCGGAUGCCGGUGGAUACUGUCGGGCUCGAGUACGGAAGAGGCGAGUGGAAUUCCUGGUGUAGCGGUGAAAUGCGCAGAUAUCAGGAGGAACACCAAUGCGAAGGCAGCUCGCUGGGACGUUACUGAGCUGAGACGCGAAAGCGUGGGGAGCAAACAGG
rnacentral:rRNA from 1 species